rnacentral:rRNA from 1 species
GGUUGAUUCUGCCUGACGUAUGCGCUUGUCUUGAAGAUUUAGCCAUGCAAGCCAGCAAAGCAUUUAAUGUGGAGCGGCAGACAGCUCAGUAAUACAGUUAUGAUUUACCCGUAAAAGUGGGAUAACCUUGGUAACCUAAGGCUAAAACUACAUAGCGAAUAGUAAUUUUGAAAGUUACAUUCGUGAUACGGCUAAGUUUCUGACCUAUUAGCUUGUUGGUAGGGUAAAGGCCUACCAAGGCGAUGAUGGGUAACGGAGAAUCAGGGUUCGAUUCCGGAGAGGGAGCCUGAGAAAUAGCUCCCACGUCCAAGGAUGGCAGCAGGCGCGAAAAUUACCCAAUAUAAUAUUAUGAGGUAGUGAAGAGACAUGACUAGUAUUGGGGGAUGUGUAAAAUCCAUCCCGUAUCAACUGGAGGGCAAGUCUGGUGCCAGCAGCCGCGGUAAUUCCAGCUCCAGUAGCGCAUAUAAUAGUUGCUGCAGUUAAAACGUCCGUAGUUUAUGACUAGUGCCCUGACUAAAGUAUGGAUCUUAAAGCCGUAAAAUAGCAUGGAACGCUAAUCAAGAUAGGAGCAGAUGGAGGCAAUAGUAUUUAAUAGCGAGAGGUGAAAAUCGAAGACCUAUUAAGGACUAACAGAAGCGAAAGCGAUUGUCUAGUAUGUAUCCGUUAAUCAAGGACUUAAGCUAGAGUAUCGAAGAUGAUUAGAUACCGUCGUAGUUCUAGCUGUAAACGAUGCCGACUAGGUGAGACCAAUUGGUUGUGCCUAAGGAGAAAUCAAAGUCUACGGGCUCUGGGGAUAGUACGGUGUCACCAUUGAAACUUAAAGAAAUUGACGGAAGGACACCACAAGGAGUGGAUUGUGCGGCUUAAUUUGACCCAACGCGGGACAACUUACCAGGACCGAACGGGUUGAGAUUGUUGCACAGAGUUGUGCCUCAAGAUUCCCGUUAAGGUGGUGCAUGGCCGUUUUCAACACGUGGCGUGAGCUGUCUGGUUAAUUCCGACAACGCGUGAGACCCCAUCUGCUAUACCAUGUGUAGUAGGACGGAUAGCGGCAAGCUAUAGGAAGCGGGGCGAUAACAGGUCAGUGAUGCCCCUAGAUGUUCUGGGCUGCACGCGCAAUACAAUAGGGGUGCGAAAAUUGUACCAGAGAUGGUACUGCUAAAACACCCCUGUAGCUGGGAUAAGUCUUUGUAAAUAGACUUUGAACUAGGAAUUCCUCGUAGUCGCAGGUCAUUAUGCUGCGACGAAUGCGUCCCUGUUCUUUGUACACACCGCCCGUCGCUAUCUAUAUGGAUGUAUUGGUGAAACGGUUGGACCCUAACGGUAAGACAAUUGAACCUGUACAACUAAAU